UUGCCAAUCCCCUCCGCCCGCGCGUCAAAACCCUAGCCGCCAGCCCUGCUCGUCCCGAGCCUGCGCCCACUCCGCCCCGUUCUCCUCCCCGCUCCCUCCAUCCUCUCCCAUGGCGCCGCCCCUCUUCUCCCCACUCGCCUUGGCCGCGUCUUCUCCUCCCCCGCGUCGUCGGCCUCCUUCCUCCUCCUCCCCCCUCUCUCCUUCGUCAUCACACGGGUCUUCCGGCCAGCGCCGGGGUGCAGUUGACGGCGGCCUCAGCGGGUGGGCGAUGGCGGCCGCAGCUGAUGCACAAGCUCGCAUCGCCCUGGCGCCGAUCUCGCGCGGCUCCUGCGCCUCGCCACCCUCUUCUCCCCAGCUCAGCAGGAGGUUUGCGAGGCCACCACUUGGGCCGCUGCUGCCUCUUCCACCCAGCAGGAGGAGCACGAGGUGAGCAGCAACAACGGGGACAGGCGACCUCGGGGAGAGUUUGCGGAGGGGCGCAUAUCAGAUCCUUUCUGAAUCCGAUGGUGUCAAUCGAGCCACAGAGAGGAAGUGAGUUGGAGAUGAGAUGGGGACAGAAGAUCCUGCUCGGCUGGUUCCAAGACCGUGAGGGGAAGGACUUCCUGUUGUCCGCCGGAGGGGAAAGAGCAGAGAUCCGAGAGACGAAGCAACCAGAGGAGCCGGAGAACACGACCCCUGUCCUAUGUACCGGCCACAUCCCCCACAGCUUCUGCGAGGACCAGAUGCAAGGUUUCUUUUAGCAGCCUGGGGUUAUUAAGAAGAGGGUCAGUAUUGCCCAGAACCGCAAGAGAGUGGAAGUUUUAGAAUGGUGCGGACAGGUUGAGAGCAAUAGAUGUUUUUUUAAGUCCUAGGCGAGCACUCCAGGUUCUGUGAAUUUUUCCUUCACAUUACUGCAGUAUUUUCAUACUUCAAGGAAAUGAUAUGGUUUCUCUCUCCCAGAUUGUUACUAACGAGAAUGGAAUUCAAGAAGAUAUACUUUUGGCAUUUUGUCUUAUUACCUCUCGUAUCUGAUAGAUAACACAAAGUUAUCAGUUUAGUUGGAAAAAGAAAAAGUCCAGAUCAAUUGUGAGGAUAUGAUCAUUGGCAUACUUACCCCCUGAUGAUGCCUCAUUUCUUCAGAAUUUGAGGCUGUUCUUGAUAUGCCAGGGUCAUUGGAUUGUUGGCUUCAGACAUACUGUACUGUUGGGCUUCAAGCGUACUUCAGUUCUAAACUUAUCCCUUUUCCCUUCAUUUUUCUAAGACUGUACUGUUGGGCAUUAAGUAGGAGUAGUUACUUAUACCAAGGAGCAGAUAUGUAUGACAUGUUAAUUUCACUUAUUUUUGGAACGAAGAUCUCACUUCAUUUAUAUUAGUCCUUGACGUCUGUGUUCUUUAUUGUGCAAAAUUGUUCCUUUCUGGGUAGAUGAAAGUGCAGAUUCCACCAAAGGAAGAUUUAGUAGGCUUUCUGUUACAUGUUGCUAAAAGUAAAUGAAUCGAAUUCUUUCUGUUUUGGUUCAGGACAAAUUUGAUUUUGGGAAGACAAAGGUCCGACAAGGAUGAGAAUGGGAUACCAGAUUACAACGAUGGAGGCUCGGACAUGGAUCUGCUCAUGCUCUCAGCGGGAAUACUGGAUGUUCUCGAAGCUUUGUCUUACACACGUGCUACUUUUGGCACUUGCGUGGGCUCCAGUUUGUGUCAAUGCAAUUUGCAUCUGUCAGCGGAUUAUGGUGAGCUUGGUUAUUGGCCUACAGGGUGCUCCACCGAUGGUGAAAAUACCUCACAGGAUGAUGUUGGAUAUUAUUCUACAAACUUCGGGCCUACCGGUGGCUGAGUAUCGAAGCAAAAUGUGACAGUGGCAUGAUGUGGAUGACUAUAAUUUCCAUACACCAACAUUAUCUUUUGGAGAUAAAAUAGCUGUAUGGCUAUUACAUGAGACCAUGUCAGAAGACCCUGCUGCUAUGGAAGCAAAAUGAUUCAUGAAAUCUGCGGUGAAAACAGAGAUAAGAUACUACAAUUACAGCAGCAUUGAGAAACCGAGGACACGAAAUGAGUCUGAAAAAUGCUAUGGGCUAAUUCGUUCUAGCUAGGCGAUGUGUGGUAGAAGCUGUACUCACAGGAAGACUAUCGUGCUGUGUAUAAACCACGUUCUACGAUUCACUUCUGUUAUGCAUAUUUACUUUCCAGUUUUAGGACUGAAAUCCAUCCAUUGUAAUGAAUUUGGUUGUAUGGGCAUUACCUAUUUGACUUAGGCUUGCUUCAUCACAUAUAGAUUGCUUUUCUUUUCCCCACUACUUGUAUGACCUAAAACUAUCAUGUAUAUGAGGCAAGUUAUUAGCAAUGUUUCACAUUUUCUUACUUGCAA